rnacentral:rRNA from 1 species
ACGGAGGGUGCAAGCGUUGUCCGGAAUCACUGGGCGUAAAGGGCGCGUAGGCGGCUCAUAAAGGCUGUGGUGAAAGUUCGGGGCUCAACCCCGAAUCGGCCGUGGCGACUUGUGGGCUGGAGCACUGUAGAGGCGGGUGGAAUUCCGGGUGUAGCGGUGGAAUGCGUAGAGAUCCGGAAGAACACCAGUGGCGAAGGCGGCCCGCUGGGCAGUGGCUGACGCUGAGGCGCGACAGCGUGGGGAGCAAACAGGAUUAGAUACCCUGGUAGUCCACGCCGUAAACGAUGGGCACUAGGUGCUUGGGGGAGCGACCCUCUGAGUGCCGGCGCUAACGCAUUAAGUGCCCCGCCUGGGGAGUACGGCCGCAAGGCUG